rnacentral:tRNA from 2 species
GUUUCUGUAGUUAAAUUGUUAUAGCGGCAGCUUUUCAGGCUGCAGGUCUCGGAGAGAGUCCGGGCGGAAACU